CGGUAACGGUAAAUAGGAUCAUGUGGGAGGACACGUCGAUAACGGUUUUAUGAAUUGAAGGAUUUAAGGGGAAGUAUGCACGGUCAAUGACAUUAUCCGCUUAUGUAUAAUGGAGGAAGAAUUUAAAAAUAAAUGAUUUGUAAGGUUGUUAUAAUAUUUAAAAAAAAAAGUAAAAUGUAUUAGUAAUGCUAACAUGUUGAAUUUGAAAAAUGUUGACCUAGCAUUUGUAUUGCAAUCAAUGAUAUCAAGAUUA